GCUCUCCCAAUCUCCCCUGAUGAAAUUAUUAACAUAGUUGAAAUGAAAUGAAUGAAGAUUCAUAAAUGAACAAACAAGUGGAAAUAACAGAAAUGCAAACAUCUUGACCAUAGUUCAAAUAUGUGUUCCAAAUCCCCAAUGAAUAACAAACACCACAAAUAACAAAUUGAAUUUCCAAAAACAUAAGCUCUCACCACACCAAACAAAGCACACAGAAUUUUGCCAAAACAAUGAUUGGG